GACGAACCGUCCAAACGUUAUUCGGAAUUAUUGGGCUUAAAGGGUGCGUAGGCUGUGCAGUAAGUUGGGUGUGAAAUCCCUCGGCUCAACCGAGGAACUGCGCCGAAUACUGCUGUGCUAGAGGAAGAUAGGGGUAAGCGGAACUGAUGGUGGAGCGGUGAAAUGCGUUGAUAUCAUCAGGAAUACCGGUGGCGAAGGCGGCAUCCUGGACCGGCAUGACGCUGAUGAGCGAAAGCUAGGGGAGCAAACGGGG
rnacentral:rRNA from 1 species